ACACCCCUAGGCAGUAUGUGUUAAUAUUGUUUUUGGAAUUGUUUUGGGCCCAGGCGCAUGGGAUUCCUUUUUGCACUCCAUUGUGCAGUUCUGACCCCCGUUUGUUUGACAUUUUUGAUGAUUUUUUUGCCACGCUUUCUUGAUAUUUUUUGUACUAUUUUUAUCAUAUUUUCUUGACAUAAUGUUCACCAUGAAAAUUUUAUAUAUUUUACAUUUGUUGGUUAAUUUUCAUUAGGAAUUUUGGUAAGUUU
rnacentral:lncRNA from 1 species